rnacentral:rRNA from 1 species
GACGGAGGGUGCUAGCGUUGUUCGGACUGACUGGGCGUAAAGGGCGCGUAGGCGGCUCGUGAAGUCGGGUGUGAAAGCCCGGGGCUCAACCCCGGAACGGCAUCCGAUACUGGCGGGCUUGAGACCGGGAGAGGAGGGUGGAAUACCCAGUGUAGAGGUGAAAUGCGCAGAUAUCAGGAAGAACACCCGUGGCGAAGGCGGCUCUCUGGGACGGUACUGACGCUGAGACGCGAAAGCGUGGGGAGCGAACAGG